rnacentral:rRNA from 1 species
UACGUAGGGUGCUAGCGUUAAUCGGAAUAACUGGGCGUAAAGGGCACGCAGGCGGGCUUUUAAGUGAGGUGUGAAAGCCCCGGGCUUAACCUGGGAAUAGCAUUUCAGACUGGGAGUCUAGAGUACUUUAGGGAGGGGUAGAAUUCCACGUGUAGCGGUGAAAUGCGUAGAUAUGUGGAGGAAUACCGAAGGCGAAGGCAGCCCCUUGGGAAUAUACUGUCGCUCAUGUACGAAAGCGUGGGGAGCAAACAGG